rnacentral:lncRNA from 1 species
GUUGUUUGUGAGUCUGACAGGACCUCGCUAAAUGAAAAUGGUGAAGAUUCUGGUAGAGCAUCUUCCUUACGUAAUGACGUAAAUACUGACAAGGAGAUGAUUAGCAUGGACAAUUGUGAACAAGCUGAUCCUGUCAUGGUAGAGCCUGCAAGUAAAGCAGCUGAUCCUGUCAUGGCAGAGCCUGCAAGUAAAGCGGCUGAUCCUGUCAUGGCAGAGCCUGCAAGUAAAGCGGCCGAUCCUGUCAUGGCAGAGCCUGCAAGUAAAGCGGAGGAAGUGUGUGUUGACCAUCCUUCACCCAAGUAUGAAUAUGUAGCAUCUAGUGGAUCUGUUAAGGAAGUCGAGACUGUGGUAGCUGAGGAAGCAAAAGGGGAGACUGCUUCACUGCAUGUUGGGUC